GACGAACGCUGGCGGCGUGCCUAAUACAUGCAAGUCGAACGCAUUUUCUUUCACCUUAUCUUGCUACACCGAAAGAAAAUGAUUGGCAAACGGGGGAGUAACACGUGGUUAACCUGCCCAACAGCCAGGGAUAACACGCUGAAACAGGUGCUAAUACCGCAUAAUUCCAUUUACCGCAUGGUAGAUGGAUGAAAGGCGCUGUUGCGGCACUGUUGCAUGGACCCGCGGUGCAUUAGCUAGUUGGUGGGGUAACGGCGUACCAAGGCUGCGAUGCAUAGCCGACCUGAGUGGGUGAUCGGCCACCCUGGGAGUGAGACACGGCCCAGACUCCUACGGAAGGCAGCAGUAGGGAUUCUUCGGCAAUGGAUACAAGACUGACCGAGCAACGCCGAGGGAGUGAAGAAGGUCUUCGGAUCGUAAAACUCUGUUGUUAGAGAAGAACAAGGAUGAGAGUGGAAAGUUCAUCCCUUGACGGUAUCUAGCCAGAAAGCCACGGCUAACUACGUG
rnacentral:rRNA from 1 species